rnacentral:lncRNA from 1 species
CAAGCUAGAUUGACGAGAAAGUUUAUUUUGCACAUGGUCUUUCCUGGUUUUGUCCUUGUAGCAAGAAGUACUUUUUUAUAACAAUAUCAGCUUUGCUCUAUUGUGUGCAAUGAUUUCAUUUAGGUACAGACCCCCUCCCGCAUUCAUGGAAGUUACUUCUUUUCAGACAGAGAAUGAUCAUUAGUUUUUAUAUGGAUUUAGAGCACAUAAAUAAUUAGCUCCCAUUUCAAGUUUGGUUUUAGAGUUAGCCUUCCAGUUCUGUGCAUGUUUUUCUUGCUGCCCAUAUUAAUGACCACAUAUUUUUCAGUCAUUGUAGUUGCCCAUAUCGACGAUGGUUUAUUUCAGCCUCGAGGACCUUGCUGGUACCAAAUCCAACGGGGAGGAGAUUGCUGAGGCGGCUGAUUCCUAUGGGCUAUGUGAAAUUAAUGGUUGACUUGAUUGAGGAGUUAUGAGCUUUCUCAAAUCCUUAAGAGGUUUGCACAUCCUUUUCCCUUGUUUUGCUUCUGAAAUUGUUGUGAGAUUACUUGCUACCUUGCAGCAUAGCUGUCCAAUGUUUUCAUAAAGAAUUUUUUUAGCGUAUACUUUGGUAUUU